rnacentral:rRNA from 1 species
GCCUACGGGGGGCAGCAGUAGGGAAUUUUCGUCAAUGGGCGCAAGCCUGAACGAGCAAUGCCGCGUGAACGAGGAAGGUCUUCGGAUCGUAAAGUUCUGUUGAAGGGGAAAAAGAGCGGAGAGAGGAAAUGCUUUCUGAUUGAUAUUACCCUUCGAGGAAGUCACGGCUAACUACGUGCCGGCAGCCGCGGUAAUACGUAGGUGGCGAGCGUUAUCCGGAAUGAUUGGGCGUAAAGGGUGCGUAGGCGGCCUGCUAAGUCUGGAGUGAAAGGUACCGGCUCAACCGGUACAGGCUCUGGAAACUG